UGACAGUUCGUGAGUGCAGCGCACCGGCUGUUUAGAUCGUGGGUAGUAACGAUCACUCACCGAGGAAGAAGGAAUCAAACGGAGACUAAUCAAACGAGCACGCGCUGUGAUUUAACGUGAUUAUCGUUAUCCUCCGUAGUUGUUCGCUCCGCGAAUAGCGUGACGAUUAUGGGAGGAUCUGUUCCGUGUGAUUGAGCGCAAGGUGUUUGAUUAGGCUUCCAAUCAUCUUAUUAUCUUGGGAAAGAAAUCACGAGAUUUUGACAUCAGUUCCGAAUUGAGAGAAAACAUUUUUGGAAUUUUUCUCUUGUCACAAACGCGAUUCGCCCCGAAUCGAGAGCUGUAAUUGAUUGAGUCGCUCGUGCGGUACUGGAACUGUUCGACGGCCAUGAGCGCAUCUUGCCGGCUAACGGUGUCAUUCUGUUCCUUGCCGUUGUCACCAUGCAAGCAAACCACCGUAUUCUGUAUUCACGAACAAAUAAAUAUCUUAAUCAAAUAGAAAGAAGAACAGUAUUAA